GAGAAAAUUACGCAAUAAUUAUAAUUGCGGCAAUAUUUUUCUCAAAUACCAACAUUUCAUUAAGUUUUCUCUUCUAUCCAAGGUGUUUUACAAUAAAUGGAUGAGCUGGCACAAUUAUUACUUUUUAUACCCACUUUCACUCUCCUCCAUUAGCAAUCAUCCAGAGACUGAAACAUCAAACAGAGACAAAUCAUUUCCUUCGUCUUCUCAUCCAAAAUUCAUGAUCAUGGCUUCUAAUGAUUUCUUUAAAACAAUAGACUUCAAAUUUAUGGCUUCUAAUCAUUUCCUUCGUCUUCUCAUCUAAAAUUCACCCAAACAGCGUCGUUGUCAUCACUCCCCAUCGUCCUAAAGCUCUCAACGCCAUGAACUUAGAUAUGGAUGCUAAGUACAAAAGUUUUCUGGGUGUAUGGGAAUCAGAUCAUAUUAAUUUUGAUUGGCAGCUCUCAAAGGUACCCAGAUGUUAAGUACAAUAAGUGUGUUCUUAUUGAAGGCAGCUCUCCUUGUGCAUUUUGUGCUGGCUAUUGAUGAUCCUUCAUUCUAAUCCCCUUUGGCUCAACGGAGGUCGGCUCUUUGAUCAUUUUAUAUUUUAAUUUUGUUCAUAAUAAUUUGUCUUAUACUAUUGAUUUUUGAAUAUUUGAGUGUUAUGUUUAUGUUUUGUUGUUUAUAUGGCCAAAUUUGGUAAAUUAGGUGUCUUUAAAAGUGUCAACUUCAUAUUUACCAAAUUGCAUACAAUAUUUUUUUGUGGAGUUUUGUCUUCAUAUUUGAGUGUUUACAAUUUGUUUUACUAUUUUUAUUUUAAAAAAUGUAGCAGAGCUGUAUUUGAGACGUACCAGUGUAGUUAUGAGAUGUAUCUGAAUUUUUUUAAAAUGUAUAUCUACAUUUUUAAUUUAAGCUCAUAUGUGU